rnacentral:rRNA from 1 species
UAACGAGGAUUCCCCUAGUAACUGCGAGUGAAGCGGGAAGAGCUCAAAUUUGUAAUCUGGCGGCCUCUGGCCGUCCGAGUUGUAAUCUGUAGAGGCGUCGUCCGCGUCGGCCCGUGUAUAAGUCUCCUGGGAUGGGGCGUCAUAGAGGGUGAGAAUCCCGUCCAUGACACGGACCGCCGAUGCUCUGUGAGGAGCCCUCAAAGAGUCGCGUUGUUUGGGAAUGCAGCGCAAAAUGGGUGGUAAAUUCCAUCUAAGGCUAAAUAUUGGCGAGAGACCGAUAGCGAACAAGUACCGUGAGGGAAAGAUGAAAAGCACUUUGAAAAGAGAGUUAAACAGUACGUGAAAUCGUUGAAAGGGAAACGCUUGAAGUCAGUCGCGUCUCCUGGCAUUCAGCCUUGCUUCGGCUUGGUGUACUUGCCUCGGGAUGGGUCAACGUCAAUUUUGGCUGGUGGACAAGGGUGAGGGGAAUGUAGCGUGGUUUCGGCGACGUGUUAUAGCUCCUUGUCGAAUGCACCGGCUGGGAUUGAGGAUCGCAGCACGCCCUUGUGGCCGGGGGUUCGCCCCACGUAACGUGCU